UACCAGCACCCCGAGUGGUCGGGACGAUUAUUGGGCCUAAAGCAUCCGUAGCCGGCCUUACAAGUCCUCCGUUAAAUCCAGCUGCUUAACAGAUGGGCUGCUGAGGAUACUAUAAGACUAGGAGGCAGGAGAGACAAGCGGUACUCAGUGGGUAGGGGUAAAAUCCGUUGAUCCAUUGAAGACCACCAGUGGCGAAGGCGGCUUGCCAGAAUGCGCUCGACGGUGAGGGAUGAAAGCUGGGGAGCAAACCGG
rnacentral:rRNA from 1 species